UCCAAUUGUCUGGACACGCAGGCGCUCUC
rnacentral:sRNA from 1 species